AUGGAAGCCAAAGUCUUCAAGGCGAUGCUUCACUUCAUCUACGCCGACUCCUUGCCAGAGGCUGACGAGGACGAAAUCGUGGGGAUGGCACAACAUCUACUUGUCGCCGCGGAUAGGUAUAACCUCCAGAGGCUAAAGUUGAUGUGUGAAGAGACGUUGUGCAAGUCCAUCAACAAAGACACCGCGGCGACUACAUUGGCCUUGGCUGAACAACAUGGUUCUGAUGGUCUUAAGAAGGCAUGCUUCGAGUUACUCGCUUCUGUUCACCUCAAGGCAGUCAUGGCAAGUGAUGGCUUUGCACAUUUGAAGAGCAGCUGUCCCUCCAUCCUGGAGGUGCUGGUCACCAAUCUAGCUCACUGGCUUCUCUAA
rnacentral:rRNA from 1 species